rnacentral:rRNA from 1 species
AUUGAACGCUGGCGGCAUGCUUUACACAUGCAAGUCGAACGGUAACAGGUUAAGCUGACGAGUGGCGAACGGGUGAGUAAUGCAUCGGAACGUGCCCGAUCGUGGGGGAUAACGCAGCGAAAGCUGAGCUAAUACCGCAUACGAUCUGAGGAUGAAAGCGGGGGACCGGAAGGUCUCGCGCGAUCGGAGCGGCCGAUGUCAGAUUAGGGAGUUGGUGGGGUAAAGGCUCACCAAGCCAACGAUCUGUAGCUGGUCUGAGAGGACGACCAGCCACACUUGAGCUGGGACACGGCCCAGACUCCUACGGGAGGCAGCAGUGGGGAAUUUUGGACAAUGGGCGAAAGCCUGAUCCAGCAAUGCCGCGUGCAGGAAGAAGGCCUUCGGGUUGUAAACUGCUUUUGUACGGAGCGAAAAGGCUCUCUCUAAUACAGGGGGCUCAUGACGGUACCGUAAGAAUAAGCACCGGCUAACUACGUGCCAGCCGCCGCCGUAA